UACAAUUAAAGCUCAAAAAAUAUAAUCAAACAUUAAUCAAGUCCAAUUAAAUUUCUUAAAAAUCAUAAAAGAAACACAAAAAAAUCUCAAACCUUAAAUCAUUCUUAAUUAGAUCCUAAAUCCUAAUUAGAUCUUAAAUCCUAAAUUCUAAAUUAAAUCUUAAUCAAAUCUUAAAUUCUCAAUCAAAUUUUAAUUAAUACUUAAAUAAAUCCUAACCAAAUUCUAAUCAAUUUGAACCAAUCAUAGGGCAAUUUUAAGAUCUCAAUAUCUAUUGAAUAAAUCAUUGAUCUUACUUAAAAUUUUAUACAUAUCUUAAUUUCUUAGUUAACAAUAAGUACAAAAAAUUUAAAAAGAAUCAAAUUUGUAAAAUAGGAUAAAAACAUUAUAAUCCGCUUAGGUGUUGGCCAACCUCCAUCUUUGAUUUUAAUAUUGAUCUUCUAGUAGCAAUAACUCUUAAUUAAACU
rnacentral:lncRNA from 1 species